GCGACCCCAGGAUGGGCGAGGCCACCCGCCGAGUUUAAGCAUAUCAAUAAGCGGAGGAGAAGAAACUUACGAGGAUUCCCCUAGUAACGGCGAGCGAACCGGGAUAUGCCCAGCAUUGGAAUCGGGCUGCCACGCAGCGGCUCGAAUUGUAGUCUGGAGAAGCGUCCUCAGCGACGGACCGGGCCCAAGUCCCCUGGAAAGGGGCGCCGGGGAGGGUGAGA
rnacentral:rRNA from 2 species